ensembl:lncRNA
GCUGAAGAGGAAUGAAGAGGGGUGAAGAGGGGUGAGGAAGGCUGAAGAGGGGUGAAAAGGGGUGAGUGAGGAGAGCUGAAGAGGGCUGAAGAGGAGUGAAGAGGGGUGAGUGAGAAGGGCUGAAGAGGGGUGAGGGUUGAGUGAGGGGAGGGUGAGGUUGUCUGGUUGUCUGGGGGUCAGAGGGGUGAAGGGGGCAGAAGUGGCUAUGGCCAAGGGGAUGGGUGGUAGGGGGUGCAGGGGGUAAAUCAGUUUUCUAAAGUCUCACAGGAAGUCCUGUGGAACAGUGUCUGACAUCCCUUCCUGUUGCGACAGACACAGUUGAUUGGCAGUGCUGCGGUGAUCCCCUCUAAAACCUGUCCUGGAUCAGCCACCGCCGUCCAAAAUAACAAAAUAACUUUAUCGACAUCAGUUGGUUGGUGACAACAGUGCAGACAGAUAAACGGGGCUUCAUGGCAGUGUGAAUGUUGCUCUAGGCUUGGAGCUGAUAGGUGGACUGACGCCCUCAUUUGAGAACUCACAGGGAAUCAGGAAGGGAGAAGCAGAUGUGAUUGGUUUGUAUUGGGAGAGAGGCGGAGACUGGGGAGUGGACAGCACCAAAACAUGUCGGACAGUGAUAGCCGUUUGGGUGGGUAGGGAGUCAAACAGCUGUGUGUGUGUGUGUGUGCGUGCGACAUUGUGUGUAUUUACGACAAUAGUAGGCUGAGUAUAUCUCAAUAAUGAUAUAGGUUGAUCCCAUCGAUCUUGUACUGUGUUGGUCAGCCAUUUGUCACUCUAAGCAUUGUCAUUGUGUAUAUGGAUGUGUACUAUAGAAGUGAGAGUAUGUGUGUGUGUGUCAGUAAAUGUACAUGUGAGAGUAUGUCUAGGUGAGUGUGUGUGUAACCCUGUACAAUGUCUGUGCGAUGCAAGUCCCUGUGUGUAGAGUGGCGGUAGGGGGGUCAGGCUCAGACUGGGAUGAGACUCCGCCUGGGAGAUAGGGGUCAUCCUGGUUUGGGGGCCAGUAGUUGAAGUUGGGAGGUUAUAGCUGGGUUUAGUGGGCAGUAGUUGAAGUUGGGAGGUUACAGUGGGGAUUAGCGGGCAGUAGUUGGAGUUGGGAGGUUAUAGCUGGGUUUUGUGGGCAGUAGGUGAAGUUGGGAGGUUAUAGCUGGGUUUAGUGGGCAGUAGUUGAAGUUGGGAGGUUAAAGUGGGGAUUAGCGGGCAGUAGUUGGAGUUGGGAUGUUAUAGCUGGGUUUAGUGGGCAGUAGUUGAAGUUGGGAGGUUAUAGCUGGGUUUAGUGGGCAGUAGUUGAAGUUGGGAGGUUACAGCUGGGAUUAAUUUUCAGUAGUAGAAGUUGGGAGGUUAUAGCUGGGUUUAGUCGGCAGUAGUUGAAGUUGGGAGGUUACAGUGGGGUUUAGUGGGCAGUAGUUGAAGUUGGGAGGUUAUAGUGGGGAUUAGCGGGCAGUAGUUGGAGUUGGGAGGUUAUAGCUGGGUUUAGUGGGCAGUAGUUGAAGUUGGGAGGUUAUAGCUGGGUUUAGCGGGCAGUAGUUGAAGUUGGGAGAUUAUAGCUGGGUUUAGUGGGCAGUAGUUGAAGUUGGGAGGUUAUAGCUGGGUUUAGUGGGCAGUAGUUGAAGUUGGGAGGUUAUAGCUGGGUUUAGUGGGCAGUAGUUGAAGUUGGGAGGUUAUAGCUGGGUUUAGCGGGCAAUAGUUGAAGUUGGGAGGUUAUAGCUGGGUUUAAUGGGUAAUAGUUGAAGUUGGGAGGUUAUAGCUGGGUUUAGUCGGCAGUAGUUGAAGUUGGGAGGUUACAGUGGGGUUUAGUGGGUAGUUAAAGUUGGGAGGUUAUAGCUGGGUUUAGUGGGCAAUAGGUGAAGUUGGGAGGUUAUAGCUGGGUUUAGUCGGCAGUAGUUGAAGUUGGGAGGUUACAGUGGGGUUUAGUGGGUAGUUAAAGUUGGGAGGUUAUAGCUGGGUUUAGUGGGCAAUAGUUGAAGUUGGGAGGUUAUAGCUGGGUUUAGUGGGCAGUAAUUGAAGUUGGGAGGUUAUAGCUGGGCAGUAGUAGAAGUUGGGAGGUUACAGCUGGGUUUAGUGGGCAGUAGUU